GCUGCAUUGGUGUAGUGGUUAUCAUUAGCGCCUUCCAAGCGCUAGAGCCUGGUUCGAUUCCUGGAUGCAGCA